rnacentral:rRNA from 1 species
UACGGAAGAUGCGAGCGUUAUCCGGAUUUACUGGGCGUAAAGGGAGCGUAGGUGGCAAGGCAAGCCAGAAGUGAAAACCCAAGGCUCAACCAUGGGAUUGCUUUUGGAACUGUUUAGCUGGAGUGCAGGAGGGGUAAGCGGAAUUCCUGGUGUAGAGGUGAAAUUCGUAGAUAUCAGGAGGAACACCGGAGGCGAAGGCGGCUUACUGGACUGCUACUGACACUGAGGCUCGAAAGCGUGGGGAGCAAAC